CAAGUAGAUCAGGCAGUCGCUGCACCCCUUGAUAUUUUUUAAGAUCAUGCUGGGUGUAGAGGAAAGUCCGGGCUCCACAGAGCGCAAUGCCAGCUAACGGCUGGGCACCGUGAGGUGACGGAAAGUGGAACAGAAAGUAAAACCGCCUAUUUCUCAUAGAAUUGGCAAGGGUGAAAAGGUGUGGUAAGAGCACACCGCAUCACUGGUAACAGUUGAUGGCAGGCCAAACCCCAUUGGGAGCAAGAUCAAAUAGAACACUAUAAUGCGGCUCGUAUUGUGUUUGGGUAGAUCGCUUGAGUGAAUUUGGUGACAAAUCACCUAGAUAAAUGAUUGUCCACGACAGAACCCGGCUUAUCGAUCUACUUGUCCU
rnacentral:RNase_P_RNA from 1 species